rnacentral:rRNA from 1 species
CCUACGGGCGGCAGCAGUGGGGAAUAUUGGUCAAUGGGGGGAACCCUGAUCCAGCGACGUCGCGUGAGUGAAGAAGUACUUCGGUAUGUAAAGCUCUAUCAGCAGGGAAGAAAGAAAUGACGGUACCUGCCUAAGAAGCCCCGGCUAACUACGUGCCAGCAGCCGCGGUAAUACGGAGGGGGCAAGCGUUAUCCGGAUUUACUGGGUGUAAAGGGAGCGUAGACGGCGAUGCAAGUCUGAAGUGAAAGGCGGGGGCCCAACCCCCGGACUGCUUUGGAAACUGUAUGGCUGGAGUGCAGGAGAGGUAAGUGGAAUUCCUGGUGUAGCGGUGAAAUGCGUAGAUAUUAGGAAGAACACCAGUGGCGAAGGCAGCUUACUGGACUGUAACUGACGUUGAGGCUCGAAAGCGUGGGGAGCAAACAGGAUUAGAUACCCUAGUAGUC